GAAAAUGCCUAGGAGGGGGAUAUGACAAUGACUCGCUCCUACCCUCUACUCCAGUCCUCUUCACCCCAAGGUAGGCAGCUUCCCGCUCCUCGUCUUGGGACCUAAACCCAGGAAGUCAGAUGUCCUUGUCUAGCAGGUCGCCUGGUUAGAGGCCGUGGACGAAGCAGUCCAGGCACAGCCAGCUGCAGGGCGCGGCCUCGGCGGCGCUGCUCGUGGCCCUGGUCAGUGAGCGCACGCACUCCUGGACUAAGCUCUAUGCAACUCAUUUUCAUCUAGCAUUACCUCUCCAAAACCUGAAUAUCCACAAGAAAGCCAUACAGCAAUUAACCAGUGUUGCAAGAACUGCUUCUGUAAUAAAGGAUCUGUGAUCUUCUCAUUUUGCCUGGUAGUUGUGUUGUUUCCUCUGGGUACUGAUCACACUUGUACAAAUGGACAGAUGUUGAAAAUACAUCCACUGGUGGGAAGAGAAAUUGAUGCAACCCUCUUGAAAAGCAAUCUGGCAAUAUGAACCAAGAGCCAUGAAAAGGCUUAUGCUAUUAUAAUUAAAUGGCUGUAAUGUUGGCUGUAAAUAUGAAAUUUUCUUUCACACACCAAUAUUUUCAAGAAUGGCAUAUUCACAUGCAGUAUGUGAUGAAAGAAGCAGUAAAGGAUGCUAACAAAGCUAUUUCUUUGGACAAUCUGAACCUGACGGAGUCUUACUCUGUCGCCCAGGCAGGAGUGCAAUGGCACAAUCUUGGCUCACCACAACCUCCACCUCCUGGGUUCAAGUGACUCUCCUGCCUGGCCAUAGAAGCAAACACAAACAUAGAGGAAUUGGCUUUGGGCAGAUGGAAGGACCUCAGAGAAAAGAAACAAAGGAAAGAAAACUGGAUGGAUAAAGUAAAGAUCUUGCCAGCUGGUGCCUGGGUGCAUAGACUGCCUAUGGCUCUUGAAUUGCAUGCUGAAAACUUCAUAAUGAAACCAGAAAAUCACAGAAGCAUAAACACAGCUGCUUAUGCCUAUAAAAUGAGAAAAUUGAAGCCAACAGAAGUUAACUAACGUGCCUAACACAGCUGUGGCAAAUUAGGACCAGAACCAAGGUCUCCUGACCUAAGUGCUACUCCCACCAUACUACAUGAUCUGCUGUUUAAAAUUUUGAAACACUCAACUGUUCAAGCACAAAUUACUGAAAAUAUCAACCACUCCACAUUACAGUGCCACUUUUGUCAUAAGUAUUCAUGGACCUGUUUUUGGUCUCUCUUCUUCUGUUCUGUUGUUCUAUUUUUUAUUCUUUCACAUAUUUCCUUUGGCCUUCAUUUCUUCCCUCUAUUUUUAAGACUCUAAUAAAAUAUGAGAUCUUCUUACCAUAUCCUCUGAGUCUUAUCCUUUCCUUCUGUUCAGUAUUUUCCAUACUUCUCUUUCAUGCUGCUGCUUAUAUAUCUUCUUCUGAACUGUAUCUUCCAGUUCACUAAUGCCCACUUCAGCUUUGUCAAAUGUUAUGUCUGCAACACUGAAAUAAUUUAUUUCCUGAUCUAAAUUUCUAUUUAGUUCUUUGUAAAAUCUGCCUUGUCAUUUUUUAAAGUUUCCAGUGUACUACCAUUAUGUCCUGAUCUCUCCUUUUACUUUUGCAACUUAGCAUGAUGGUUUUCUGUUUGAUAAUUCCAAUACCUAAAGAUUUUUUUCUGUUGUCUGUUGGUUUUGCUGCUUCUUGCUCUUGGUGGUGUGUGUGUGCGUGUGUGUGUGUGUGUGUGUGUGUGUGUGUGUGUGUGUGUGUGUGUGUACCUGGUUAAAUUUAUAAGCUGAACACUGGAUAUAAAAAUUAUAUUAUUAUUAACUUUAGGCCUAGGAUAAUGAUACCUUCUCCUAGAGGCAAUCUGUUUCUUCCAGAGAGCUGCGGACAUUACGAGUCUACAUAUCUUAAUUCAGGUUUGACCACUUAAUCCCAGGUUGAACCACCAACAGGACACAAGGGCAGAAAGCAAGUUCAUGAGAGGGCUAUAACACACAUGGCUCCACCCUCUUCUUUCAGUGUGUAAGCGUAAAAUGGGAGGUAAUUUACCAGAGAUCUCACUUCUGGAGGCCCUGGGCUUGGCUUUUAUUUUUGCCACUCUUGAGGGGACCAAAAGUGCAGCUCAGCUUUGAAAACAGUUUCCUCUAUGUAUACAAAUGCCUGCAAGGCACAGUAUUGAGUCUUUUCAUCCCAGGAAGUAUGGUGUGUUUUUCCAUUUAUUGAAGUCUUCUUUUAUAACCCACAUUGAGGUUUGUAGUAAUUUUAAAAUAAAAGUUUUAUAAGUUUAAAACUUAUUUUAUGUUUCUGUUCUUACAAAUGGAAUCAGUUCCAAUUUUCUGAUGAUUGAUUUCCAGGCUAUAACAUUUUAUAUAUUUACAUAUUUUUUCUAAACCAGUGCUUCUCAAUCUUCAGUAUGCUUUUACUAUUAGAAAAAAGUAUUAAACAGUUUGAUUUAGCAGUGAACUAAGCAAAUGAUAAAGUUCAACUAUCAAUCAAUUUGUAGAUGACUUAAAUGAAAAGCCUGAUAAUUCAAAAUUCCAAUUAAAAUGUUAAUUGAUAGUGAUGUUAUUGAAUACCCUAAUGUUGGUUUUGCAACAUUGAUGAUGAUAUUUGAUACAGUAGACUAAAUAAGUAGAUAUUCAGGGGUCUAUUGAUUACAACUCAUAAAUAACAGAUGAUCUGUUACUACUUGCU